rnacentral:misc_RNA from 1 species
UUGGCCGAGGACCUCUUCAACUGACAUGGAACUAUAACUAUGGACCAGCUGGGCAGAGCAAUAACUUUGAUGGGUUAAACGCUCCUGAAACUGUGGCCAAUGACCCAGUUGUGUCAUUUAAGGCUGCUCUCUGGUUUUGGAUGAACAAUGUUCGCCCUGUUGUAACGCAGGGCUUUGGUGCGACUAUUAGAGCCAUUAACGGUGCAAUUGAAUGUAAUGGUGGAAAUUCCGAUGCUGUUCAGGCUCGUAUUGGGUAUUACACAGAUUAUUGUAACCACUUUAUUAUUUUAUUCUUUGCAAAUA